rnacentral:rRNA from 1 species
GUCCAUGCCUUUACCCUGAAGGUACCAGAUGCCAUCUAAUUUGGAAACCAAGCAUGGUCUGGGCUGGUUAAUACUUAGACGAGAGAUCACCAAAGAAUACCAGUUGCUUUGGGGC